UCAGGACGAACGCUGGCGGCGUGCUUAACACAUGCAAGUCGAGCGAUGAAGCACCUUCGGGUGUGAAUUAGCGGCGAACGGGUGAGGAACACGUGAGAAAUCUGCCUUCAACACUGGGAUAACUCCGGGAAACCGGGGCUAAUACCGGAUAUGAAAUCUGCGGGCAUCCGCGGAUUUGGAAAGUUUUUCGGUUGAAGAUGAUCUCGCGGCCUAUCAGCUUGUUGGUGAGGUAAUGGCUCACCAAGGCGACGACGGGUAGCCGGCCUGAGAGGGCGACCGGCCACACUGGGACUGAGACACGGCCCAGACUCCUACGGGAGGCAGCAGUGGGGAAUAUUGGGCAAUGGAGGAAGCUCUGACCCAGCGACGCCGCGUGCGGGAUGAAGGCCUUCGGGUUGUAAACCGCUUUCAGCAGGGAAGAAGCGAAAGUGACUGUACCUGCAGAAGAAGCACCGGCUAACUAUGUGCCAGCAGCCGCGGUAAUACAUAGGGUGCAAGCGUUGUCCGGAAUUAUUGGGCGUAAAGAGCUCGUAGGUGGUUCGUCACGUCGGAUGUGAAACUCUGGGGCUUAACCCCAGACCUGCAUUCGAUACGGGCGAGCUUGAGUAUGGUAGGGGUGUCUGGAAUUCCUGGUGUAGCGGUGGAAUGCGCAGAUAUCNNGAGGAACACCAAUGGCGAANGNAGGACUCUGGGCCAUUACUGACACUGAGGAGCGAAANCGUGGGGAGCGAACAGGAUUAGAUACCCUGCUAGUCCACGCCGUAAACGGUGGGCACUAGUUGUGGGGACCNNCCACGGUCUCUGNNACGCAGCUAANGCAUUAAGUGCCCCG
rnacentral:rRNA from 1 species